rnacentral:rRNA from 1 species
GGGGGAUAACGUAGCGAAAGUUGCGCUAAUACCGCAUAUUCUGUGAGCAGGAAAGCAGGGGACCGCAAGGCCUUGCGCUCUUUGAGCGGCCGAUGUCAGAUUAGCUAGUUGGUGAGGUAAAGGCUUACCAAGGCGACGAUCUGUAGCGGGUCUGAGAGGAUGAUCCGCCACACUGGAACUGAGACACGGUCCAGACUCCUACGGGAGGCAGCAGUGGGGAAUUUUGGACAAUGGGGGCAACCCUGAUCCAGCCAUGCCGCGUGAGUGAAGAAGGCCUUCGGGUUGUAAAGCUCUUUCGGCCGGGAAGAAAUCGCAUGGGCCAAUACCCUGUGUGGAUGACGGUACCGGAAUAAGAAGCACCGGCUAACUACGUGCCAGCAGCCGCGGUAAUACGUAGGGUGCGAGCGUUAAUCGGAAUUACUGGGCGUAAAGCGUGCGCAGGCGGUUUUGUAAGACAGGCGUGAAAUCCCCGGGCUUAACCUGGGAACUGCGUUUGUGACUGCAAGGCUAGAGUACGGCAGAGGGGGGUGGAAUUCCACGUGUAGCAGUGAAAUGCGUAGAGAUGUGGAGGAACACCAAUGGCGAAGGCAGCCCCCUGGGUCGAUACUGACGCUCAUGCACGAAAGCGUGGGUAGCAAACAGGAUUAGAUACCCUGGUAGUCCACGCCCUAAACUAUGUCAACUAGGUGUUGGGUGGGUAAAACCAUUUAGUACCGUAGCUAACGCGUGAAGUUGACCGCCUGGGGAGUACGGCCGCAAGGUUAAAACUCAAAGGAAUUGACGGGGACCCGCACAAGCGGUGGAUGAUGUGGAUUAAUUCGAUGCAACGCGAAAAACCUUACCUACCCUUGACAUGCCAGGAACUUGCCAGAGAUGGCUUGGUGCCCGAAAGGGAGCCUGGACACAGGUGCUGCAUGGCUGUCGUCAGCUCGUGUCGUGAGAUGUUGGGUUAAGUCCCGCAACGAGCGCAACCCUUGUCGUUAAUUGCCAUCAUUUAGUUGGGCACUUUAACGAGACUGCCGGUGACAAACCGGAGGAAGGUGGGGAUGACGUCAAGUCCUCAUGGCCCUUAUGGGUAGGGCUUCACACGUCAUACAAUGGUCGGUACAAAGGGUCGCCAAGCCGCGAGGCGGAGCCAAUCCCAGAAAGCCGAUCGUAGUCCGGAUUGCAGGCUGCAACUCGCCUGCAUGAAGUCGGAAUCGCUAGUAAUCGUGGAUCAGCAUGUCACGGUGAAUACGUUCCCGGGUCUUGUACACACCGCCCGUCACACCAUGGGAGCGGGUUCCGCCAGAAGUAGGUAGCCUAACCGCAAGGGGGGCGCUUACCACGGCGGGGUUCGUGACU